rnacentral:rRNA from 1 species
GGAUUAGAUACCCUGGUAGUCCACGCCGUAAACGAUGUCUACUAGAAGCUGGACUCUUCGGAGGACUUUUUCAAAGCUAACGCAUUAAGUAGACCGCCUGGGGAGUACGGCCGCAAGGUUAAAACUCAAAUGAAUUGACGGGGGCCCGCACAAGCGGUGGAGCAUGUGGUUUAAUUCGAUGCAACGCGAAGAACCUUACCUACACUUGACAUACAGAGAACUUACUAGAGAUAGUUUGGUGCCUUCGGGAACUCUGAUACAGGUGCUGCAUGGCUGUCGUCAGCUCGUGUCG